rnacentral:rRNA from 1 species
UGCGAAUGGCUCAUUAAAUCAGUUAUCGUUUAUUUGAUAGUACCUUACUACUUGGAUAACCGUGGUAAUUCUAGAGCUAAUACAUGCUAAAAACCCCGACUUCGGGAGGGGUGUAUUUAUUAGAUAAAAAACCAAUGCCCUUCGGGGCUCCUUGGUGAAUCAUAAUAACUUAACGGAUCGCAUGGCCUUGCGCCGGCGACGGUUCAUUCAAAUUUCUGCCCUAUCAACUUUCGAUUGUAGGGUAUUGGCCUACAAUGGUAUCAACGGGUAACGGGGAAUUAGGGUUCGAUUCCGGAGAGGGAGCCUGAGAAACGGCUACCACAUCCAAGGAAGGCAGCAGGCGCGCAAAUUACCCAAUCCCGACACGGGGAGGUAGUGACAAUAAAUACUGAUACAGGGCUCUUUUGGGUCUUGUAAUUGGAAUGAGUACAAUUUAAAUCCCUUAACGAGGAACAAUUGGAGGGCAAGUCUGGUGCCAGCAGCCGCGGUAAUUCCAGCUCCAAUAGCGUAUAUUAAAGUUGUUGCAGUUAAAAAGCUCGUAGUUGAACCUUGGGUCUGGCUGGCCGGUCCGCCUCACCGCGUGCACUGGUCCGGCCGGACCUUUCCUUCUGGAGAACCGCAUGCCCUUCACUGGGUGUGCCGGGGAACCAGGACUUUUACUUUGAAAAAAUUAGAGUGUUCAAAGCAGGCCUUUGCUCGAAUACAUUAGCAUGGAAUAAUAGAAUAGGACGUGCGGUCCUAUUUUGUUGGUUUCUAGGACCGCCGUAAUGAUUAAUAGGGAUAGUCGGGGGCAUCAGUAUUCAAUUGUCAGAGGUGAAAUUCUUAGAUUUAUUGAAGACUAACUACUGCGAAAGCAUUUGCCAAGGAUGUUUUCAUUAAUCAGUGAACGAAAGUUAGGGGAUCGAAGACGAUCAGAUACCGUCGUAGUCUUAACCGUAAACUAUGCCGACUAGGGAUCGGGCGAUGUUAUUCUUUUGACUCGCUCGGCACCUUACCGAGAAA